CCCCUCUCAGGAUGGCACCUGGAGAGUUUCCAGUCCUCUACCAGUCUCGGCUACGGGAGGGAGAGCCAAGCAGAGGCCCGUCCAUUCCAUUCCUAGCUUGGUCAGUGGCUAGGGAGUGGCAGGCCGUCCGCUACAAGG